GUUACUUACAAUGACUUAUAAAUCAGUAGGCUUAUGAGUUUCGUUCAAUUAACAACUAAUAUUUCGAGAUUUAUAAAAUUCCAAAUUUCCUUGUCUGAAUUUUAGAAAACAAAUAUUAUGUCUCUAAUGCUAAUAUUGAUGAUUCAUAUCGUUUUAUUUUAUCCAUUGACAUCGGCGAAUGCUGCUUCAGACAAUGUUACUUUCAAAAUUAUAAACGGGUUUUCUUGCAACAUCAAGGAGACUCCCUAUCAGGUCUCACUGCGCUAUGCCUAUAGAGAGAGAAAACGAUGGGGCAGCGGCCAUUAUUGCGGUGGAACUAUUGUUAGCAAUCGUGCGAUUAUCACUGCAGCUCAUUGCCUAAGGGGGAGGCGCCAUAAGAAAGAAGUAGUAGUUGUAGUAGGAAACACUUUUCUAGACGACAGAUCUGCAACAACGAAGGAGCUGGAAAUCUUAUCUUGGCGUGUUCACCAAAAAUAUACUAAGCCAUUGAACGAUAUUGCAUUGAUCUUUACUGUCGAGCAUAUACAACCCAUUAGUGGGGCUAUUGAGAUUUUGCCCCUAAACACGAGGGAAGUCGACGUGGGUACCAGAUGUCUAGUAUCCGGCUGGGGUCAAGCCAAUCACUUUGUGCCAGAUCGCACGAAUGAUCUGAGGGCGCAAUGGAUACAGAUUGUCAGCCCUAAAAUCUGUAGGAAGCUCUAUCGUAUACCUAAAGUAAUUUGCGCCGGCGAUGAGUCCACUACUGGGCCCAGCUUUGGUGAUUCGGGGGGCCCGUUGAGGUGCGAAGAUAAAUUGUCGGGUAUCGUCUCUGUGGGAAGGCUUGAGGGUGGUCCGACCGCAUACACAAGUAUUCGGGAUUUAUACCCUUGGAUACGACGUGAGCUCAGUAGCUUCAAUGGAGCUCCGCCAAUGCGACCGUCUUGCAUCCAGAGACAGGUUGUUUUGGCCAUCACCAUUUAUAUGGUAACAAAAUGAUUCAUUCUGCUCUACGUAUUAAAACAUGUGGAAAUGAAGAAGUCCAGGUAUGUAGAAGCUGCUGGUAUGUGAUAUAUGUGUAACUAGCUCUAAUCAAGAGAUCAGUCAAUAAGGAUCAGAGUGGACUUUUUAUAUAGUUUUUGAAGAAUUGAUACCAACUAAUGUGUAUUUAUAUUGAGGACUAUAACUUUUAUUAAAAUCAACUAUUAACUUGAAUGCAAUUCUCAAGGAAUAUUGAAAAUGACUCCAUAAAAGCUCCACCCAUCGGCAAACCCAUUGGUCAAAUUUGUUUACAUUCCGCUUGGAAACUGGGUCAUUGUGAGCGCGAGCGAGCGAGAUGGCAACAGCAAUGUUGUUAAGCGAUUGUUCGCCGCUGGGACGCAGCUUGAAAUCGCCAACACGAUGGCAACGUGGGACAUGCCCUACCAGCGGCGAUAACAACAAACUGAUCAAAAAAAAAUCAGCAUAACGUUCAAGCCGCUGUAAAUGCUCUAUCUCGUGGAACGAUAAUUGGCCAGAAAUCGCAACUAACUUCAAAUUAUUGUUCAUAUUUUUAUGGAAUGACCUAAGAAAUGGAAAGAAAUAAUUGUAAAUAAUUUUUAAUA